AACGAACGCUGGCGGUAUGCCUAAUACAUGCAAGUCGAACGAGAAAGUCUCUUCGGAGAUGAUUACAGUGGCGCACGGGUGAGUAACACGUAGGUGACCUGUCAAGUAGUGUGGGAUAGCAGGGAGAAGUUCCUGCUAAUACCACAUAAGCUUAUUAGCUCUAAACGCUUUUAAGGAAAGAUGGCCUCUAUACUAUGCUAUCGCUACAGGAGGGGCCUGCGGGCCAUUAGCUUGUUGGUGGGGUAACGGCCUACCAAGGCUAUGAUGGCUAGCCGGUCUGAGAGGAUGAUCGGCCACACUGGAACUGAGACACGGUCCAG
rnacentral:rRNA from 1 species